AUUUGAUGGUGGGGGAAGCUAGCACAUAACCUCUUGAACCGCUCCCAAUACUCAUACAAUGACUCCCAGUCUGUUGGCGAAUGCCAUAGAUUUCAUUCCUUAUACU